CCUACGGGUGGCAGCAGUGAGGAAUAUUGGUCAAUGGGCGGAAGCCUGAACCAGCCAAGUAGCGUGCAGGAUGACGGCCCUACGGGUUGUAAACUGCUUUUAUCGGGAAUAACGCGCCUUACGUGUAGGGCUUUGCAUGUACCGUAUGAAUAAGGACCGGCUAAUUCCGUGCCAGCAGCCGCGGUAAUACGGAAGGUCCGGGCGUUAUCCGGAUUUAUUGGGGUUAACGGGAGCGUAGGCCGCAUGUCAAGCGUGCUGUGAAAUGUCCGGGCUCAACCCGGGCCUUGCAGCGCGAACUGGCGUGCUUGAGUCCGCGGAAAGCAGGCGGAAUUCGUCGUGUAGCGGUGAAAUGCUUAGAUAUGACGAAGAACCCCGAUUGCGAAGGCAGCUUGCUGCAGCGGAACUGACGCUGAUGCUCGAAAGCGCGGGUAUCGAACAGGAUUAGAUACCCGAGUAGUC
rnacentral:rRNA from 1 species